rnacentral:rRNA from 1 species
CGGGCGCGAAACCUUUACAAUGCACGCAAGUGUGAUAAGGGAACCCCAAGUGAUAAUGCAAAUGCAUUAUCUUUUGCUUAGAGCAAAUAUCUAAGCGAAUAAGUGGUGGGCAAUACCUGUGCCAGCCGCCGCGGUAACCCAGGAGCCACAAGUGGCAACCACCUUUAUUUGGCCUAAAGCGUCCGUAGCCGGUUUUGUAAAUUCUCUGUGAAAUCGUUGCGCUUAACGUAACGGCGUGCAGAGAACACUGCAAAACUAGGGACCGGGAGGAGUUGGAGGUAUUCUGGGGGGAGCGGUAAAAUGCUAUAAUCCCCGGAGGACCACCUGUGGCGAAAGCGUCCAACUAGAACGGAUCCGACGGUGAGGGACGAAAGCUAGGGGAGCAAUCCGGAUUAGAUACCCGAGUAGUCCUAGCCGUAAACGCUGUGAGCUAGGUGUUGCACAAUCUUCGGGAUUGUGCAGUGUCGUAGUGAAGAUGUUAAGCUCACCGCCUGGGGAGUACGGUCGCAAGGCUGAAACUUAAAGGAAUUGGCGGGGGAGCAC